UACGUAGGUGGCAAGCGUUGACCGGAAUUAUUGGGCGUAAAGCGCGCGCAGGCGGUUUCUUAAGACUGAUGUGAAAGCCCACGGCUCAACCGUGGAGGGUCAUUGGAAACUGGGGAACUUGAGUGCAGAAGAGGGAAGUGGAAUUCCACGUGUAGCGGUGAAAUGCGUAGAGAUGUGGAGGAACACCAGUGGCGAAGGCAACGUUCUGGUCUGUAACUGACGCUGAUGCGCGAAAGCGUGGGGAGCAAACAGG
rnacentral:rRNA from 1 species